CUGGCUCAGGACGAACGCUGGCGGCGUGCCUAAUACAUGCAAGUCGAGCGGACCUGAUGGAGUGCUUGCACUCCUGAUGGUUAGCGGCGGACGGGUGAGUAACACGUAGGCAACCUGCCUGUAAGACUGGGAUAACUACCGGAAACGGUAGCUAAUACCGGAUACGCAAGUCUAUCGCAUGAGGGACUUGGGAAAGACGGAGCAAUCUGUCACUUACGGAUGGGCCUGCGGCGCAUUAGCUAGUUGGUGGGGUAACGGCUCACCAAGGCGACGAUGCGUAGCCGACCUGAGAGGGUGAACGGCCACACUGGGACUGAGACACGGCCCAGACUCCUACGGGAGGCAGCAGUAGGGAAUCUUCCGCAAUGGACGAAAGUCUGACGGAGCAACGCCGCGUGAGUGAUGAAGGUUUUCGGAUCGUAAAGCUCUGUUGCCAGGGAAGAACGUCCGUUAGAGUAACUGCUAACGGAGUGACGGUACCUGAGAAGAAAGCCCCGGCUAACUACGUG
rnacentral:rRNA from 1 species